CCCUUAGAUGUUCUGGGCUGCACGCGCGCUACACUGAAGCGUUCAACGAGUAUUCACCUUGCCCGGGAGGGUUGGGUAAUCUUUUGAAAACACUUCGUGAUGGGGAUAGAUUAUUGCAAUUAUUAAUCUUCAACGAGGAAUUCCUAGUAAGCGCGAGUCAUCAGCUCGUGCUGAUUACGUCCCUGCCCUUUGUACACACCGCCCGUCGCUCCUACCGAUCGAAGAGUUAGGUGAAUUGUUUUGAUCGAUAAGAUUUGACUAUGGUCAACUCUCGUUGGGAAAUUCUGUGAAUCUGACUGUUUAGAGGAAGGAAAAGUCGUAACA
rnacentral:rRNA from 1 species